GGGAGUGACGUCAAGUCCUCAUGGCCUUUAUGCCCAGGGCUACACACGUGCUACAAUGGGUGGUACAAAGAGAUGCCAACUCGCGAGAGCGCGCCAAUCUCAGAAAGCCAUCCUCAGUUCGGAUUGGAGUCUGCAACUCGACUCCAUGAAGUUGGAAUCGCUAGUAAUCGCGGAUCAGCACGCCGCGGUGAAUACGUUCCCGGGCCUU
rnacentral:rRNA from 1 species